rnacentral:rRNA from 1 species
GACGAACCGUGCGAACGUUAUUCGGAAUCACUGGGCUUAAAGCGCGUGUAGGCGGGCCGCCGCGUCGGCUGCUGAAAUCCCCCGGCUCAACCGGGGAACGGGCACCGAUACGGGCGGCCUCGAGGGGGGUAGGGGGGUCUGGAACUUCCGGUGGAGCGGUGAAAUGCGUUGAGAUCGGAAGGAACGCCCGUGGCGAAAGCGAGGCCCUGGACCCUUACUGACGCUGAGACGCGAAAGCCAGGGGAGCGAACGGGG